UUUAAUUGAAGAGUUUGAUCAUGGCUCAGAUUGAACGCUGGCGGCAGGCCUAACACAUGCAAGUCGAGCGGUAACAGAUUGAUAGCUUGCUAUCAAUGCUGACGAGCGGCG
rnacentral:rRNA from 1 species